rnacentral:rRNA from 1 species
AUUGAACGCUGGCGGCAUGCCUUACACAUGCAAGUCGAACGGCAGCGGGGGAGAAGCUUGCUUUUCCUGCCGGCGAGUGGCGAACGGGUGAGUAAUACAUCGGAACGUGCCCUGUAGUGGGGGAUAACUAGUCGAAAGAUUAGCUAAUACCGCAUACGACCUGAGGGGGAAAGUGGGGGACCGCAAGGCCUCAUGCUAUAGGAGCGGCCGAUGUCUGGUUAGCUAGUUGGUGGGGUAAAGGCCUACCAAGGCGACGAUCAGUAGCUGGUCUGAGAGGACGAUCAGCCACACUGGGACUGAGACACGGCCCAGACUCCUACGGGAGGCAGCAGUGGGGAACUUUGGACAAUGGGCGAAAGCCUGAUCCAGCAAUGCCGCGUGUGUGAAGAAGGCCUUCGGGUUGUAAAGCACUUUUGUCCGGAAAGAAAUGGCUCUGGUUAAUACCUGGGGUCGAUGACGGUACCGGAAGAAUAAGGACCGGCUAACUACGUGCCAGCCGCCGCGGUAA